GGUUCAUUGUUUUCUGAAUUGAGGCGUGGUGGAGAUCAAGAAGGCGUCCGCGGCUCCGAGAGAGUGUGUGUCUACCGUGGUCUGCUACCUUAAGUGGUUCAUUGUUUUCUGAAUUGAGCGUGGUGGAGAUCAAGAAGGCGUCCGCGGCUCCGAGAGAGUGUGUGUCUACCGUGGUCUGCUACCUUAAGUGGUUCAUUGUUUUCUGAAUUGAGCGUGGUGGAGAUCAAGAAGGCGUCCGCGGCUCCGAGAGAGUGUGUGUCUACCGUGGUCUGCUACCUUAAGUGGUUCAUUGUUUUCUGAAUUGAGCGUGGUGGAGAUCAAGAAGGCGUCCGCGGCUCCGAGAGAGUGUGUGUCUACCGUGGUCUGCUACCUUAAGUGGUUCAUUGUUUUCUGAAUUGAGCGUGGUGGAGAUCAAGAAGGCGUCCGCGGCUCCGAGAGAGUGUGUGUCUACCGUGGUCUGCUACCUUAAGUGGUUCAUUGUUUUCUGAAUUGAGCGUGGUGGAGAUCAAGAAGGCGUCCGCGGCUCCGAGAGAGUGUGUGUCUACCGUGGUCUGCUACCUUAAGUGGUUCAUUGUUUUCUGAAUUGAGCGUGGUGGAGAUCAAGAAGGCGCCCGCGGCUCCGAGAGAGUGUGUGUCUACCGUGGUCUGCUACCUUAAGUGGUUCAUUGUUUUCUGAAUUGAGCGUGGUGGAGAUCAAGAAGGCGCCCGCGGCUCCGAGAGAGUGUGUGUCUACCGUGGUCUGCUACCUAAAUGAUGAAUACA